UGUGUGUACACGGACUAUAUAAGCCUGUGAAGGCUGCUCUUCCUAUCAGUAUGGUGUAUGGAGAGAACAGGAAAGAAAAUUUCGCAACAAUCACAACGAAGUGAUGCUACGAAUCCUGUAUGAUUAGAUGAAAUUGAGAACUUGCACAGUCGCACUUCAGAUCGUCCUGCAUCUCAGAUCUGCUCAGUAGUUCCAGGUUAAAUCCAGGUGAUUUAGUGAUGAGCAGCAUGGAGGUGCAGCGGAUAGCAUUAUCGCCUCACAGCUUCAGGAUCCCCAGUUCCAUCCUGAGUUCAGGUUCCUGGGACAGACGCUGGAUCCACUGCAACCCUGAACAAGAAGAAGUGAUUGCUGAAGAUGGCAGGUGUAAACACAAUACAUACACUGUGUUUGCAUCAUUCUAACAUUCAGGAGAAUGUUGUAGCCCACAGGAUACGUCAUCCAGUAAUCUCAAAAAAACAUCUUGAAUAAUAAUAUCCAACUCCAAAAAUAAGAUGGUGACAGCCUCCUACACUCCACCUAGUGAGCUCGCUUAUUUACAUACUGAGCAGGAGUAACAAAAUCUGUUCAUAAUGCAGAAAGAGAAAAAAGGCGUGAGAUAGGAUCAUUUGUUAUCGCACAUAAUAUCUAGAUACAGUUAUUGUCAAUGCAAACAAAUAAGGCUUUGUACUCUUCACACAUAGCUGUAAAGCAAACAAUGGAGGAGUAGUAAAUCACAUAUUCAAGGUCAAUGCAGUGAACAAGCUUGACUGUUUAUGUUGCAACAACAAUCACAAUGUCUAAUAUAUACAAUUCGAAAUAACAUCAGAAUGCUCAGUUUUAAUUAAUGUAGUCAGUGUGUGUUUUCCAAAAAAAAAAAAAAAAAAAGUCAACAGAACCCCGUGAAAUACUGGCUGUAAACAAAGUCACAGUUCUCGAUUCAUUUAUAAAAUCACAACACACACGCACAUACGCAGUGUAGGAGUCAAGGAUUUGGUCCGGUUACCACAGCAACGAUUGUAGCGCUCCCAAUGAUUUCUCACGGUUUCGGUGUGUGAGACACCGUGGUGACACACGGUUCAUCCUGAGUCAUUCUUGAUUGUCACGCAACCGUUAAAGGAUUCAAGGAUGAUGAAUGGAUGAUGAUGAUGCCUCAUCCAGUCGGAGGAUCUGAAACUGCCUCCUGUCUGUGCAUGAUGAAUAGCACAUACCCUCACUGCAUAUACUCUCACUCACAGUUCAUUUGAGUUCUAUGCACAUAAUGUCCUACUUAGGAUAAAACAGUCUUUAGAGACCACAGCUAAAGUGAUGUUUUACCUUAAAACAACACCACGCCUGGUAACUAGAGCUCCUGGCAAUAUACAGGUGAUGAUUUUUCUUUGACUAGAUUUAUCCAUUUUAAAAUACAUGGGGUAGUUUGGGAAAACCUAUCAGAAGUCACUGUAGCUGAAUUCUCUCAAACAGACAAAAAAGAUGAAAACUGUUUUUUUUUCUGUCUAUAACAUACUUUGGCAACUUUAACACUCAGAGGUCUAUGCCUACUUUUUAUGUUUUUGAUACCUAGGUUUAAAAGUCAAUAAAAAUGCCCAUGUUUCAAAUACAUAUGUGGUGUUUUAUGUCAAACUAUGAUUUGUGAUUGGUGUAGGGACUGAAUAACAAAACACACAAUUAGUCAAAAGGUCUUGUUUGAAAGCUUGCUCUUUAUAGUACAACUAACUUCA